GUCGGGAAUGCAGGCGUGACAUCGAGGUACUUCUUAAUCGUAUUCAUCGUCUCUGAUGUUGUUGACUGGGAAACUUCUCAGUCUGAGUCAUUACGGAAGUAUCUGUCACAAAGAAGAACCACAGAAAAUGUUCAGCAACACCGACCAAUCCCAAGAUGCUCGACACCCCUCUGGCUAUGACCUGAGCCCCAGAUCAGGAGACUACAGGCCUGACGACCGUGAAGACCACCGUGGAGGGGAUCGCCGUGAAGACAGCCAUGGAGAUGAUGACAAAGACCGCCAUGGAGGGGAUCGCCGUGAAGACAGCCAUGGAGAUGAAGGUAGAGACCGCCAUGGAGGAGGUCGCCGUGAAGACAGCCAUGGAGAUGAAGGUAGAGACCGCCAUGGAGGAGGUCGCCGUGAAGACAGCCAUGGAGAUGAAGGUAGAGACCGCCAUGGAGGAGGUCGCCGUGAAGACAGCCAUGGAGAUGAUGACAAAGAUCGCCAUGGAGGAGGUCGCCGUGAAGACAGCCAUGGAGAUGAUGGUAAAGACCGCCAUGGAGGAGGUCGCCGUGAAGACAGCCAUGGAGAUGAUGGUAAAGACCGCCAUGGAGGAGGUCGCCGUGAAGACAGCCAUGGAGAUGAAGGUAGAGACCGCCAUGGAGGGAGUAGCCGUGAAGACUGCCAUGGAGAUGUUGACAAAGACCGCCAUGGAGGGCGUCGCCACAGAGAUGAUCAUGAGGGCCGUAAUCAAAGCCCUCGUCGUCGUGACCAGAGCGGUGGCAGCGGCAGCGGCAGCGGCAGCGGCAGCGGCAGCAGCAGUGACGGACAAGGUGGCCGUCGUAGAAAACGUCACGGUCACGGGAAAGGUCACGGGAAAGGUCACGGUAAAGGUCACGGUCGUGGUCACGGUCGUGGUCACGGCCACGGCCACGGUGGGCACUGAUGAACACAG
rnacentral:lncRNA from 1 species